rnacentral:rRNA from 1 species
AUGGUGGAGAAAGAACUGGAACACCCUCUUGUGCUGCUUCAUAUCUGCAAUGCUAUGCAAGAGAACUUUGCCGAGUUGAAGAUGAGCAUCCAAGAGCUACAACUAGUCCUUAAAAGAGGAGAUCAUGCCACUGCCAAUCUCAAAAUUGAGCCUUUCUUCCGUUCAGCAACGAAUAUGCAAAAGCAUUUCAAGAAAUACAGCAGCAAAGCUACUCCUGAAGGUCUCAGCCUUGUCAGGCUACUAGUAGAAGCCAGAGAGAUAGCUGUGUCCCUACUUGAAUGUACAUCAUACCUCAUGCCCAAGCAGACUGUCACAUCCAAUUCUAGCAAAUGGCAUCUGGUGUCCAAAUGGUUCCAGAAAAGAAAGUUGUAUGUGAGGAGGAUCAGCUACAAGCAUUAG